rnacentral:tRNA from 1 species
GGCCCGUUGGUCAAGCGGUUAAGACACCGCCCUUUCACGGCGGUAACAGGGGUUCGAAUCCCCUAGGGGACGCCA